UACUCCCUGCCAGGCUUCCAGCAAUCAUUGUCCACCCGGUAAACCCGUUUACAUUAAACGCACGGAGUCCUGAAACGACAGAACUCGGAUCUUUUUAAAGGCCUUCUCCGCUGGCACGGGCUCCAGCUUCACUGCGAACUGCGUAACUGAUACCCACCAGGCCCCUGGGGCACCAGGCGGGGGUGGCGAGCGCACAGCACAGCGACCAAAAAUAGCCCCUGCUUUGCUCUGUCUGCGGACAGCGCUUCCUGAGCCUCGCCGGGGACCUAGCCGGGACCGCAGCUCCGGAGGCCUUGUGUCUGUGCCCUCUGCUGUGCGCGCGUCUCCAAGGUGGCGCUUUCGGGCGCUCUUUGGAGAGGCUGUUUCUUUUCCUCUCUCUAACUAAAACUUGUAAUUUGAAAACAUUAAACUGCAACGACCUUGGGAAGAAGAUAAACCAUUCCAGCCUAAACUUAAAGCCCGA
rnacentral:lncRNA from 1 species